rnacentral:rRNA from 1 species
UACGUAGGCGGAAAGUUAAGUCAGUAGUGAAAUCCUGCAGCUUAACUGUAGAACUGAUAUUGAUACUGGUUUUCUUGAAUUUAGUUGAGGUAGGCGGAAUGUGUAAUGUAGCGGUGAAAUGCUUAGAUAUUACACAGAACACCGAUUGCGAAGGCAGCUUACUAAGCUAUGAUUGACGCUGAGGUACGAAAGCGUGGGGAGCGAACAGGAUUAGAUACCCUGGUAGUCC